rnacentral:lncRNA from 1 species
AGUGCCUGAGACUAGUAACCUCAGGGAGAGGGAAGCGAGUUGCUGUACUUCCUCAUUCCCCAGAUCUCUCCUCCUUCCCUCCAGGGCUAUACGUCCUAUGUCUCUCAUGUGGGAUUGCAGCAACACACAGGCCCUGCAGGUACCAUGGUGCCCCCCAGCUACUCCAGCCAGCCUUAUCAGAGCACCCACCCUUCUACCAAUCCUACUCUUGUAGAUCCUACCCGUCACCUGCAACAGCGGCCCAGUGGCUAUGUGCAUCAGCAGGCCCCAACCUAUGGGCAUGGACUGACUUCCACUCAAAGGUACCCAAAGUAGUAGUGAACUGGCAAGGGAUACUGAGGUAUAAGCAGGUAUAAGCAAGCAUCUGAUUUGGGAAACCCUGUACUUGAAGGUGAUAAAUGGGCC